UACGGGGGGGGCAAGCGUUGUUCGGAAUUACUGGGCGUAAAGGGCUCGUAGGCGGCCAACUAAGUCAGACGUGAAAUCCCUCGGCUUAACCGGGGAACUGCGUCUGAUACUGGAUGGCUUGAGAUUGGGAGAGGGAUGCGGAAUUCCAGGUGUAGCGGUGAAAUGCGCAGAUAUCAGGAGGAACACCGGUGGCGAAGGCGGUGCUCUGGGCCGGUACUGACGCUGAGGAGCGAAAGCGUGGGUAGCAAACAGG
rnacentral:rRNA from 1 species